AGCCAUCCAAAUUUAAUAAAUAUCCAAGCUGGAUAUGGGGAUGCCAAGCACAACAGAGAUAGAAAGCUCAAGUUUGUCAUGUUUGGAGUCCUUGCAACAAGCUUUGGACCUUCUAAGUGAAUUGUUACAGGCUGAGUCCUAGUGAUCGUGCGGCCGUAAAAGAUGAAGUCAACAUUGAUCUUGUUGAUCGCAGUAGGACAAACCAGAAAAAAUUGAUGCAGAUGCUAACCACUGGGUUAGCU